UCCGGUUUGGCACCGGCAGUCUCCCAUGAGUCCCCGGCAUUACCCGCUGGCAACAUGGAACAGGGGUUGCGCUCGUUGCGCCACUUAAGGCAACACCUCACGGCACGAGCUGACGACAGCCAUGCAGCACCUGUGCAGGCUCCCGAAGGAGCCCCGUGUUUCCACGGGUUUACCCUGCAUGUCAAGCCCAGGUAAGGUGGGGAUGACGUAGACGUCAUAACC
rnacentral:misc_RNA from 1 species